rnacentral:rRNA from 1 species
UACGUAGGUCCCGAGCGUUGUCCGGAUUUAUUGGGCGUAAAGCGAGCGCAGGUGGUCUAUUAAGUCUGGUGUAAAAGGCAGUGGCUCAACCAUUGUAUGCAUUGGAAACUGGUAGACUUGAGUGCAGGAGAGGAGAGUGGAAUUCCAUGUGUAGCGGUGAAAUGCGUAGAUAUAUGGAGGAACACCGGUGGCGAAAGCGGCUCUCUGGCUUGUAAUUGACACUGAGGCUCGAAAGCGUGGGGAGCAAACAGG